ensembl:lncRNA
AAAUAAUAAUAAUUAGCUGAUCGCUUUACUUGUCAGUUAAUCAUUCUUUUGUGUAAGUGCAAACUUUAUGCUCAACCUUGGACAAAAACGUCCAAACAGUACACACUUGUCCACCAGGGGUGGCUAUUUAGCAAAAAAUAAGAUAAAUGUUCACUACAGGCUAAAAAGAAACUAGCAGCCUACUCGGAUCUCAACAUGCAUUUAAUUGACUUUGUACUUUUGCAAAACAAUCCGUCUAAACAAAACGGGUCAAAUGUUGCUAAAUGUCUAAUUUCUUUGUAUUAGAUUUAAUUCUAAAUCUAAUCAUGAUUAUGCAACUAUAUAGGCACCCCAACAUUUUAAAAAUAUAGAAACAACACAUAUCCUGUUUGUUGCAACCCCCCAAAUAAUUUAAACAUGCAUUCAAAAGUUUACUUUGAGACACUUAGUAACACGUAAAUAUCAACAAGCAUGUUUAGAUAAUCCAUUAGGUAAGGAAAUGAAAUCUGGUUUUAUCAUCAUUUUGGCUCAGAUGUAUAUGAUGUAACGUCUUGCAUUUCACGCUUGUAGUUCCACUUGAACUUCCUCUGAGCAGUUAGAAAAGUGCAUGUUUGCAUGUGUGUCUCUGUGCUGCCUGCUGGCAUCCUGUUCAGGCCCCGCUGUGGUUUGCAUGAUUCGGAGGCGAUGAUGAAGUGUCAGAGAGAAAAAAACUCAGUUUAGGUGGAGCUGGACCUUUGCAAUCAACUAAAGUAGACCGGACUGAAAGAUGCGCACUUACUGUGUACUUCUACACAUUUUUGCUGUUCUGCUCUUGUGUGAUUAUGGGAUGUGCUCCAAGCCAUCACCAUCUCCAUCUCCUUCAGAGAUGUCCACCACUGCAAUAUCAGCCACAUCUGACUCUCACACUACUGUGAUGACAACAGAAUCAAUAACUGUCGGGAAUGACUCGAGCUCCUUACAGACUGGCUUAAAGUAUGAAGGGUCAUCUGAUUUAAAUGAUACAGAUGACGGCAGUGGAGACGAUUCUGAACCUGAAUCUAAAAAUCCGAAUGUAAGCGUCAGUGGAGUGAUCUCUUCAACCACACAUCCAGAGAGCAGCACGCUCUGUGUGAAUCCACAUACUAAAGAAAAUAUAGAUUCAGGAUCGUUAACAGGAGGUGUCAUCAUUUUGAUCCUCAUCCUGAUCCUGAUUUGUUUUCUGCUUGGCAUUUUAUUUAUUCUGAGAAAGAAAGCAAGGAGUUACUCAUUUGAUUUGACUCGUGUGGAUGGACCUGGCAAUGAUUAUGACACCCCGCUCAGGAGCGACCAACAAAGCUAUGAACAAACCAACAAAGAUCUGCCUGUGUCUAUGAAUUACAUACAAGAAGACAAGUCUGAGGAAAAGACUAAUCCGAUAGCAAACGGGUCUACAGGAGAGAAAACUGAACAGACACCUACCAGUGAAAAUGAUGACCAGAAUGCUCCAGAAGAGAACAGUUUCUCUUCAAACUCGAGCUUGUCUACGCCAAUGAAGAAAGUGGAGUUUAACCUGGAUCUGGAUCUGCUUGGAAGUGAAUCUGAAUUUAGUGGUCCGACCGAAGCUGAAGCAACAGAUGCGGCGCAAAAUGAAAACAACAAUAACGUCAGUAAUGCUGGGCGAGGAACAGCAGAAGAGAUCUUCACUGAAAUCAGUCUAGACGAGCCAAAGGAAUAUGCAUAGCAUGUGUUUCCCAUACAACAUUCAAGAUCUCUGGUCUUUGGUACCUAGAUUCAACUAUAUCUGUUUGAGAUGCCUUGAUCCAGACUAUAUGAGUGCAAAAGUGUCCUUUUGACAUUCUCACUUCAAGUUCUGUUUCAUCUAGUGUUAAACGAGAUUGUAUACUGUACAUAAAAAACAACAUUGAAUCAUUAUAGUUUAUGUUAAAAAUGUUAGCAUACAAAUGCUGUAUAAAAUAAUUUGUGGCUGUAAUAAACGUUUACUGUAGAGUGGACUGUGUAAUGCAAGUGUGUGUAUGUUUUUGACUGAGGCUUUCUGUUAAAGGGACAGUCGCCCACAAAUGAUAAUGAAGUCAUCAUUUACUCAUCAUUUACAAGAUUUUUUUUUAGAAAUGUCCCGUGCGCUCAUCUAUAUAAUGGCAGACAGUGCUGAUUUACAGUAAUGUCUAUGGGGUUUAGGCAUGCUGGGGAUCUGUUUGAUCUCACCGACUCUUAUCUUUAGGGACUAUGUUUACUGCAGCUCACGGCUGGAGGUGAUUGCCUGUAUUGUCUUCAGAUGUUUCUGUUUAAGUGGUCACUUCUGAGGCUGUGUGUUUGGUUGACAUCUUUAAGGACGGCCCACUGAAUGCCUGGAAAAUACAAUGAAUGCCUGCCUUAUUAGUCAGACUUUUGAUAAAGAAUAAAGAAUCCUGCUGAAGAUACCCAAGAGUCUCCUGGUCUUCGCUUCUGAGUUUCCAACAAUGGUUUGCAAAUUCAUUUAGAUGACAUUUAUAUGGCCGUAAUAUAUUCUGGAGGCUCACUGUAUUCAGUAUGACACACGGUGUUGCAUGCAUCAGUCCAAAAGAAGUUAAAUAAAAAGCGCUCAUCCUGCUACACAAGGCAAAGUUGUGGCCGUGUGAUGAUGGAUUACACAGAGAGGCCUGACGGUGACCUGUCAGUCAUAACCUUUUAGCCAGGUAAAGAAGAAUCUCUUUGUUUGUUUUCUCUUGUUUACAAGAUCAGAUACAACAUAAACUUGAUGAUAACCACGGAAAAUAGAAAAAAACACAAACUUGGACUUAAAAUUGAACUAUAAGGAGCCACAUAUCCCAGAUUUUCCCUUUAGAAAAGUGGAUUUCUGGCAAUGCUCUUUUAAUUUUGGGGUAAUUGAGAAACUAUGUUUGUCAUUUAGUUACUUAAGUUUGUAUAUGACAGAAUUAUCCUGUAUGCAUUUGUAUAUCACAGAAGGCCCAAACACACUCUGCUGGUGAAGAUUACACACCCAAAUCUGUUUGAAAGUAUGUCUCAUAUCAAGCUUUUUAAUAAACUCUGUAAAAUCCA